rnacentral:rRNA from 1 species
UACAGAGGGGGCAAGCGUUGUUCGGAAUUACUGGGCGUAAAGGGCGCGUAGGCGGCCUGUUAAGUCGAACGUGAAAUCCCCGGGCUCAACCCGGGAACUGCGUCCGAUACUGGCAGGCUUGAAUCCGGGAGAGGGAUGCGGAAUUCCAGGUGUAGCGGUGAAAUGCGUAGAUAUGCGGAGGAACACCGAUGGCGAAGGCAAUCCCCUGGACCUGUACUGACGCUCAUGCACGAAAGCGUGGGGAGCAAACAGG